rnacentral:lncRNA from 1 species
GAGAGCGCUGGGAGCUCCGACCCGGACGCCACCGACCCGAGAAGGAAACCCGGCCGUCGCGCCACAGUCCGGCCACCCCACGACGGUGCACAGGCUCUAUCUCCUUCGUCUCUGCGUCGUCUACAUCCCAGUAGCCUCGGAUUAUCCAUGCACUGAGCUGGGAAGGAGAAUCGACGACAAGAAGCCCGAGCUCUUUCCGGUAACUUCUGCAAUUUUCGGUGACUCCGGCCACCG